GGUGUACAGUUGGCGGGUUUCCGGAAGAACUACAUUUCACAUAAUGCAUGUUUUCCCGGGACAUUGACGUAGAGGAACGACCGUGAGUUUGAAUUUUCUCGUGGAGUCCGAAACGCUCCUAUAUGGUCCGAAAGCAUAACGUUAACUUAUCCCUGCUUGACAGUUUCUGCCGGCUGUUGUUUUCGCUGGUAAUGCAUGUAAAGUAACGUUUACUUAUUUGUAAGUGUCCGCGUUAAACAGUAAGUAUUUCACGUUGACAAGCUGUGUGUGUGUGUGCAGCGUGAAUCUAACAAUGCUAAACAACAUAAUGUCAGUGUGUUAUCAUGAAACCAACAAGGUCUUUGUGUGUAUUUCUUUCCAGGCUCGAGUGUUUGGUUGUGAGAUGAUCAUCUAGGAAUCUUUUUUUAAGUUCAGAUAUUGGACUUGAGUGCUACAGAGAGUCAGCGUUUCACCAUCAGACAGUUGCCAAUAGAGUUUCACCGAAUCAACAACGUUAACCUGCGCAAUCAAUUCUACAAGGAGCUGGACAGACACAUGCCUAAACUCAUCUCCUUGUUCAGAGACAAGGCCACCAAGACUGUCAAGACAGCGGAGGAGCUAGCCAAACUCAUGAGGAUUUAUGACCUUCAGCAACAACGUGAUGUAAAUAUGAGACGGGACCUCAUCCUCGGUGCACUUCCUGUCUACCUGCAUGAAGAUUCUUUAAGUUCUUCAGGACCUGUAAUUCAGGAGUUGGUCCAGACCUCACCGAUACUCCAGUGUCUCUCCUGACAGUCGUAACAGAUAACACUACUGAUGCAGCCCUCUUCUGCCCUGAGAGUAUCUGUCGUGAAGGAUAAAAUACUUGCAAGCUCCUUUUGUGUCUUUUUAAAAGCACAUUGUUGAAUAAAAAAAGUUGCUAAAUUGUCA